CGAAUGAAGACAAAAGUUGUAGUGCGCGACUGAGCUUUGCUUGGUGCUGAGCAAGAACGACAGACGCGGUCAAUACUGCGUUCUGCUGACGC
rnacentral:snoRNA from 1 species